rnacentral:rRNA from 1 species
AACGAACGCUGGCGGCAUGCCUAACACAUGCAAGUCGAACGAAGGCUUCGGCCUUAGUGGCGCACGGGUGCGUAACGCGUGGGAAUCUGCCCUUAGGUUCGGAAGAACAGUUAGAAAUGACUGCUAAUACCGGAUGAUGACGUAAGUCCAAAGAUUUAUCGCCUGAGGAUGAGCCCGCGUAGGAUUAGCUAGUUGGUGUGGUAAAGGCGCACCAAGGCGACGAUCCUUAGCUGGUCUGAGAGGAUGAUCAGCCACACUGGGACUGAGACACGGCCCAGACUCCUACGGGAGGCAGCAGUGGGGAAUAUUGGACAAUGGGCGCAAGCCUGAUCCAGCAAUGCCGCGUGAGUGAUGAAGGCCUUAGGGUUGUAAAGCUCUUUUACCCGUGAUGAUAAUGACAGUAGCGGGAGAAUAAGCCCCGGCUAACUCCGUG